AUAAAGUUUAAUUCUAGUUUAAAGAUUUAUUUAAUUUUUUUUUUACAUGUAAAUUUUUGUAUGUAUAUUAAUUAAGUUUUAAUAAUUUAUUUAAAAUAAUUUAUUCGCAGUAUUUAAUUUUAAUAAUUUAAGAAAUUAAGAAUUAGAAAUAAAUUUUAAUAUUAACAAAUUUUGUGCCAGCAGUUGCGGUUAUACAAAAAAUAUAAAUAAAUUUUAUUGGUGAAUAAUUAUAUGAAUUAUAAAUAAAUUAAAAUUGUAUUUAUUAGGUGAAAUUUUAAUUAUAAAAUUAGUUUAUAUAGAAGUUUUUAUUAUUAUGAAAUUUAUGUUUAAACUAGGAUUAGAUACCCUAUUAUUUAAAAUGUAAAAUUAAUUACCAAAGUAGUAUUAGUUAUGUUCUUGAAAUUUAAAGAUUUUGGCGGUAUUUUAGUCUAUUUAGAGGAACCUGUUCUAUAAUUGAUAAUCCACGAUUAAUUUUACUUAUUUUAUAAAUUUGUAUACCGUCGUUAUUAGAAAAUUUUAAUAGAAUAUUAAUUUUUAAUAUUUUUAAUUAAAAAAUAUAUCAGAUCAAGGUGCAGUAUAUAUUUAAGAAGAAAUGGGUUACAAUAAAUUUAUUUAUAUGGAUUAAAAUAAGAAUAUAUUUUAUGAAGGUGGAUUUAAUAGUAAUAAAAUUAAUUUAAAUUUUAUGAUUUUAGCUCUAAAAUAUGUACAUAUCGCCCGUCGCUCUUAUUAUAAGAUAAGAUAAGUCGUAACAUAGUAGAUGUACUGGAAAGUGUAUCUAGAAUGAC
rnacentral:ncRNA from 1 species